rnacentral:rRNA from 1 species
UACGGAGGGGGCUAGCGUUGUUCGGAAUUACUGGGCGUAAAGCGCACGUAGGCGGCUUUGUAAGUUAGAGGUGAAAGCCCAGGGCUUAACUCUGGAAUUGCCUUUAAGACUGCAUCGCUAGAAUCGUGGAGAGGUGAGUGGAAUUCCGAGUGUAGAGGUGAAAUUCGUAGAUAUUCGGAAGAACACCAGUGGCGAAGGCGACUCACUGGACACGAUUGACGCUGAGGUGCGAAAGCGUGGGGAGCAAACAGG